CUGUAUCGAUACAAUAUCACCAUGCAAAAUAUCGCGAUACUAUGCUGUAUCGAUUUUUUCCCCCACCCCUAAUAUGUAUGUGGUUUUUUUUUUUUAUAGCAGAUUACAGUGUCCCUGAGAAAAUCCUAGAUUCUCAUAAAUCCAGUAUGAAGAGAAAGGUUGAACACUGAGCUCCACAUCACAGAGGGAGAGAGCGAAGGGGAGAAUGAAGAGCAUGAGGUAUGGAAGGCUGAAAAAGCACACAGACGAAAACAACACAUCGCCAUCAAGAGUAAGGACAUCUUUAAACCCGUACCGGGACAAGAUAAACUCAUGAGAACUGUGAAGACCAAUAGGUACAAGAUAAAAGCAAAGCGGGUGUAGAGCCAUGUUUUGCCACCAGGGGAAACAACCAGUAGGAAGCAAGCACCAGCAGGUCAUUCCACCCACACACUUUUAAACGUGGAACAGUCCUGGCCUCUGGGACCUGUAACAAAUGCACCGAGAUCUUCGAGGAAGAAACAUCCAAGAGUUCCUUGCUGCUUUCUAUGUCUUUAACUCUGGAAUUUGAUUGCAUUCUAACCAGAAACUCCUACAAGGUCUUCUGCCAGGUACUUUACCAGGAAUAUGCACGGGAUGUCUUUGCGAGUGGCAUGAAUCAUCAGAAGCCAAGACGGAGCUGACAGAGAACCCUUCGUCUUUGAAACACAAACAUUUUAGAAAACAGGAACGUUAGCACUCUAUGUUCUUCUGGGGAACACACAUGAAGAAGACAACAAACCACGUGGCACUGCAAACCUCAAAUCGAGGACUUCACAGGCCAUCUCUCCAGUCUGGGUGAACGUCCCUUCUGC
rnacentral:lncRNA from 1 species